AUGAGACCUGAGGUAGGGGCGGCUGCAGCAGGCUGCUCCCUCUCUUUCCUCCCCCACCAUCCCCUCUAUCGCUCUCUCUCUCUUUCUUUCACCCUCUCUCUUAUUCUCUCACUCCUGUUCUUGCCACCUCUUCUUCCUUCCAUCUCCUUCCUCUCUCUGCCUGUAGAUUUAUUAUUGGACGCCUGUUGUCGUCGCCAAACUUGUGCCACAGCAGCAAAGCUCUGCUACUCGGGUGACUCAGGGGACAGACAUUUCAUUUCCGCCCUCUUAACGAGUUGGUGGUGAGUGUGUGUUAAUAUGUGUGUAUGUGCGUACGGGAGCUAUAUGAGGGGAGCUGGUUGAUGGGGGGUUGGGGGGAAGCUUCAUCGUUGUCCUCCUCCUCCUCCUCCUCCACACUCUCAGACAGAGAUAAUGGGGGAGCUGAUAGCAGCCUUGGAGACUGCUGUGGCUCCAAGCACAGAUAUGGACCGAUAACGCCUCCACCACCUCGCCUGCUGCUGCUGCACCAUCAGGAUCUAACAGCCGGAGUGCAAAUGCGUUUAUCAUCGCUCUUUUCUCUUUUACUUCUCAAGAGAAGAUCUGUUUUCCUGUCACGCGGAGCACAGCUGGAGCAGCUUUGUCAAAUCUGAGGAAAAAAACCUGAUAAUGUCAUCAGAGAUAUGUGGUCUUGAACUCGCAAACUACACAUUAAUGACAGAAGGCCUGUAUUACAAGUUGGGGGUAUGGAGCUUGAAAGACAUGGGUGUUUUGAGUUGCAUUAUGGGAAAUGUAGUAUCUUGUGUUUUUGGAGCUUAAGCGAUGGACAAGAAGUCAGGAGAACUUGGUCUCUGCUGCUGUCACUGUUCAUAGGAAGAUUGAAUGCUAUUUUUAGUUACUCUUUGGUAAAUAGUUUUUACUGUUUUUGUUUUUACCACCUCUCUCUCACUCUCUCUAAAAGAUGUAUUAUUGUAAACCCUGUACUUUUUCUUUUGUGUCCCUUGCAGAGGAGGGAAUACAUUGUUCCUUGGUAAUGUAAAUAUGCCUGAUUACUGCCUAAUAAUUAAUAAUAAAAUAAAUCAGUCUCUAGAAAG